rnacentral:rRNA from 1 species
UGAGGAAUAUUGCACAAUGGGCGAAAGCCUGAUGCAGCAACGCCGCGUGCGGGACGAAGGCCUUCGGGUCGUAAACCGCUUUUCUGAGGGACGAGCAAGGACGGUACCUCAGGAAUAAGUCUCGGCUAACUACGUGCCAGCAGCCGCGGUAAAACGUAGGAGGCGAGCGUUAUCCGGAUUUACUGGGCGUAAAGCGCACGCAGGUGGCCGUGUAAGUCGGACAUGAAAGCUCCUGGCUUAACUGGGAGAGGUGGUUCGAAACUGCAUGGCUUGAGGGUGGGAGAGGGACGUGGAAUUCCCGGUGUAGUGGUGGAAUGCGUAGAUAUCGGGAGGAACACCAGUGGCGCAAGCGGCGUCCUGGCCCACACCUGACGCUGAGGUGCGAAAGCGUGGGGAGCAAACAGG